GCCCCUGUAGUUGAACGGAUACAACGGCCCCCUCCUAAGGGGCAGGUCUGGGUUCAAUUCCCGGCGGGGGCGCCA
rnacentral:tRNA from 1 species